rnacentral:rRNA from 1 species
CCUACGGGAGGCAGCAUGAGGAAUAUUGGUCAAUGGACGGAAGUCUGAACCAGCCAAGUAGCGUGCAGGAUGACGGCCCUAUGGGUUGUAAACUGCUUUUGUAUGGGGAUAAAGUUAGGGACGUGUCCCUAUUUGCAGGUACCAUACGAAUAAGGACCGGCUAAUUCCGUGCCAGCAGCCGCGGUAAUACGGAAGGUCCAGGCGUUAUCCGGAUUUAUUGGGUUUAAAGGGAGCGUAGGCUGGAGAUUAAGUGUGUUGUGAAAUGUAGACGCUCAACGUCUGACUUGCGGCGCAUACUGGUUUCCUUGAGUACGCACAACGUUGGCGGAAUUCGUCGUGUAGCGGUGAAAUGCUUAGAUAUGACGAAGAACUCCGAUUGCGAAGGCAGCUGACGGGAGCGCAACUGACGCUUAAGCUCGAAGGUGCGGGUAUCAAACAGGAUUAGAUACCCUGGUAGUCCGCACAGUAAACGAUGGAUGCCCGCUGUUGGUACCUGGUAUCAGCGGCUAAGCGAAAGCAUUAAGCAUCCCACCUGGGGAGUACGCCGGCAACGGUGAAACUCAAAGGAAUUGACGG